ACCUGGCUGGCUCAGUCAGUGGAGCAUGUGACUCUUGAUCUCGGGAUUGUGAGUUCAAGCCCCACGUUGGGUG
rnacentral:tRNA from 1 species